UAUAAACAUCAGUAUAAGGGAAUAUACACAUUUCUUAUGUGUUCACUUAAUUGGUUUCACUAUAACAUGUAUAAUUUAAAUAAUCCUGCAUCCAAGUUUUGCAAUCAUGCAAUCCAAGUUUUAAAAUAUGCAAAUACUGUAUAGUCUCUCAAUUAAUAUGAGCUGUAAAAAUACUGCAUGCAUCAUAAUUAUUAAAAAAGGGGGAAAAACAGUACAAUGUUUUAACAGUUUUAGAUGGAGAUUAACCAGUAAUACCACAUACAUGAGAAACCUGCUGUUUCCUGUUAAUUAAAUAUU